AACUUUUUGAAUCCAUGAUGAGAUUUUGUAAGACAGCAACCUAUUUGGUCUGAUCAGACUUUCAAGAUUAGUGAAGUU
rfam:Schistosoma rodhaini strain Burundi genome assembly, scaffold: SROB_scaffold0024218